ACUCGCAGGAGUCUUCUCCAGCAUCACAAUUCAGAAGCAUCAAUUCUUUCGUGCUCAGCCUUCCUUAUGGUCCAACUCUCCCAAGCUAUACAUUACAAUUGGGCAAACCACAGCUUUGCCUUUACGAACUUUUGUUGGCAGGGUGAUGCCUCUGUUUUUUAGCACGAGGUCUAGAGUUGCCAUAGCUUACAUCCUCCCCAGGAGCAAGG